rnacentral:rRNA from 1 species
AGACGGGUGAGAAUCCCGUCCACCGAUUGACUAAGGUUUCCAGAGGAAGGCUCGUCCGCUCUGGGUUAGUCGGGUCCUAAGCUGAGGCCGACAGGCGUAGGCGAUGGAUAACAGGUUGAUAUUCCUGUACCACCUAUAAUCGUUUUAAUCGAUGGGGGGACGCAGUAGGAUAGGCGAAGCGUGCGAUUGGAUUGCACGUCUAAGCAGUAAGGCUGAGUAUUAGGCAAAUCCGGUACUCGUUAAGGCUGAGCUGUGAUGGGGAGAAGACAUUGUGUCUUCGAGUCGUUGAUUUCACACUGCCGAGAAAAGCCUCUAGAUAGAAAAUAGGUGCCCGUACCGCAAACCGACACAGGUAGUCAAGAUGAGAAUUCUAAGGUGAGCGAGCGAACUCUCGUUAAGGAACUCGGCAAAAUGACCCCGUAACUUCGGGAGAAGGGGUGCUCUUUAGGGUUAACGCCCAGAAGAGCCGCAGUGAAUAGGCCCAAGCGACUGUUUAUCAAAAACACAGGUCUCUGCUAAACCGUAAGGUGAUGUAUAGGGGCUGACGCCUGCCCGGUGCUGGAAGGUUAAGAGGAGUGGUUAGCUUCUGCGAAGCUACGAAUCGAAGCCCCAGUAAACGGCGGCCGUAACUAUAACGGUCCUAAGGUAGCGAAAUUCCUUGUCGGGUAAGUUCCGACCCGCACGAAAGGCGUAACGAUUUGGGCACUGUCUCAACGAGAGACUCGGUGAAAUCAUAGUACCUGUGAAGAUGCAGGUUACCCGCGACAGGACGGAAAGACCCCGUGGAGCUUUACUGUAGCCUGAUAUUGAAAUUCGGCACAGCUUGUACAGGAUAGGUAGGAGCCUUUGAAACGUGAGCGCUAGCUUACGUGGAGGCGCUGGUGGGAUACUACCCUAGCUGUGUUGGCUUUCUAACCCGCACCACUUAUCGUGGUGGGAGACAGUGUCAGGCGGGCAGUUUGACUGGGGCGGUCGCCUCCUAAAAGGUAACGGAGGCGCUCAAAGGUUCCCUCAGAAUGGUUGGAAAUCAUUCAUAGAGUGUAAAGGCAUAAGGGAGCUUGACUGCGAGACCUACAAGUCGAGCAGGGUCGAAAGACGGACUUAGUGAUCCGGUGGUUCCGCAUGGAAGGGCCAUCGCUCAACGGAUAAAAGCUACCCCGGGGAUAACAGGCUUAUCUCCCCCAAGAGUUCACAUCGACGGGGAGGUUUGGCACCUCGAUGUCGGCUCAUCGCAUCCUGGGGCUGUAGUCGGUCCCAAGGGUUGGGCUGUUCGCCCAUUAAAGCGGUACGCGAGCUGGGUUCAGAACGUCGUGAGACAGUUCGGUCCCUAUCCGUCGUGGGCGUAGGAAAUUUGAGAGGAGCUGUCCUUAGUACGAGAGGACCGGGAUGGACAUACCUCUGGUGUACCAGUUGUCGUGCCAACGGCAUAGCUGGGUAGCUAUGUGUGGACGGGAUAAGUGCUGAAAG